UCCAGGGAUCCGAAGCCAUUACAGUCAACUGAAUAUCUUCUAGUGACAAGGACAAGAGGAAAAAGACAGAUCCCUGGGCUCAAGGAAGACGUGAACUCCCACAUCACUGCUAUGUCCCCACACUGGAUGUCACAUGCAGCAAGUGUUCAUUUACCCUGCAGCUGCCUCUGCUAUGCAAUGCAUGCCUCGUUUGGGCUGAGCCUGUGACCUUUACUCUGUUCUUUUCCAACACCAGCACACUGCAUGCAUGCGGGCCUGAGGGCUGAAAUCACAGGGAAUGAAGACUCAGCUAUGGAGACUGCAUGGGGGACAGAGACUCGGCUAUAUGGAGCACAUGCCCCACCCCAGCCUGGGUCCUGUGCAGCAAGGGUCAGAGAAGGAAGCAGGAUGGGGCACAGGCAGCUGGAGCUCCGUCUUCCUCACGAGGGAAAGGAGCCCACCAGUGCCUCACUCAGGCUUCACGGUAACAGCUGUGAGACCUUCGCUGUCCUUAUGCUAGAGAGAGGCACCUGCCAAGGCUGCAGCUCUCCCACACCUCAGCCACUGAUGUUCGCCGCAGCACAGGAGAGCCUUCCCCAGAACCAAACCCUGCUCUGAGGUGAAGGAAGCCUUCUGAACACCUCAAUGCCCUUUAUUUUCCACAGUGGCUACACAUCUCCCUCUACAACUGCUACAGUGAACUUCCGUAUGGAAACAAAAUCUCCUUUCCUGUCACUGUUCUCUGCCGCACCCUGCCAGUGCUGUCCUCAGGGAUCUGCACACAGUCAGAAGGUACGGCCAUUCUCCCCGCGCACUGGAGACCCCUCCCAAGACCCUGCAUCGAAACAGCACCCCGAGACACAGCCUUUCCUCCAUGAUGGGUCAGACCACCCAAGUCCAAGAGGCAUCCAAGACUCAAUUAUUGAAGUAGGUCACCCACACCUUUGGUGGCCUCCUAACACCUGGUUUGUGACAGUAUGCUUCUGAGUUACUGAUAACGAGGCACUUCUGGCCUCUACAGUUGUCCUUUGAAGACCACAAACUAGCUGUGCUGGGUUGGGUUGAGGCACUGCACAGAGCUACCGGCAAGGCUCAGAGGCCACGGGGCACAGUGGGGCUCCCGGAAACGGGCUGGGGCUUACCUUCUGUGACUUGAGCUCUUUGGUGAGCAUCAGCACCUGCUGCUCCAAGGCCGCCACCUUCUCCUGGGCUGUGCGGCUCCGAGCCAGUCCAUCGGAAAAGAAUGGGAAGGUGUUGCUUUGCCGCUUGGGUUUCUGCGUGGGACCUGAGGGCACAGAGGACCUGGGUGCAGACUUGGCAGGAUCCUCUGGCUCUUUUUCUGCUUGAGGAGAGAAACGCGGACGUCAGGAUGGGCAGACCUACUGGUGCCUUAUCCAUAUCUUCAGGCAACAGCGUCUUUCUGCAGUUUCCUCGUGAACUGGAAAGGGGGCAAUACACUUUGCUUAUUUAUGAAUGCUUACUAGGGAUUCUGCGGGAAAGAUGGCAUUCUGGGGACAGAUGGCAGUGACAGCCACAUAAUAGUGUGAAUGCACUCAAUGCCACUGGAUGGUGUAAUGGGAAGUGAUAAAAUGGUAAAUUUUGUUAUGUACAUGUAUUUUACUACAAUAAAACAUUCUAACCCGGUGGUGCACGCCUGCAUUCCAGCA
rnacentral:lncRNA from 1 species